AACGUACGCUGGCGGCACGCCUAACACAUGCAAGUCGAACGAAGUAGCAAUACUUAGUGGCAGACGGGUGAGUAACAUGUGGGUAUCUACCCUUUGGCCUGGAAUAACACGAGGAAACUUGUGCUAAUACCGGAUAAGUCUUUACGGAGAAAGCUUUAUGCACCAUUGGAUGAGCCCGCACUUGAUUAGUUUGUUGGUAGGGUAAUGGCCUACCAAGACUAUGAUCAAUAGCUGAUUUGAGAGGAUGAUCAGCCACAUUGGGACUGAGACACGGCCCAAACUCCUACGGGAGGCAGCAGUGGGGAAUCUUGCACAAUGGAGGAAACUCUGAUGCAGCGAUGCCGCGUGAGUGAAGAAGGCCUUUGGGUUGUAAAGCUCUUUCGUCGGGGAAGAAAAUGACUGUACCCGAAUAAGAAGGUCCGGCUAACUUCGUGCCAGCAGCCGCGGUAAUACGAAGGGACCUAGCGUAGUUCGGAAUUACUGGGCUUAAAGAGUUCGUAGGUGGUUGAAAAAGUUAGUGGUGAAAUCCCAGAGCUUAACUCUGGAACUGCCAUUAAAACUUUUCAGCUAGAGUAUGAUAGAGGAAAGCAGAAUUUCUAGUGUAGAGGUGAAAUUCGUAGAUAUUAG
rnacentral:rRNA from 1 species